GGCGACGUAGCCAAGUGGUAAGGCAAAGGUCCGCAAGACUUUUAUCCCCUAGUUCGAAUCUGGGUGUUGCCUCCA
rnacentral:tRNA from 1 species